rnacentral:misc_RNA from 1 species
AAAGUCGUAACAAGGUUUCCGUAGGUGAACCUGCGGAAGGAUCAUUAAAAUGGACAGCGGUGACCUCUGGUCGCCUGCUCUCUGAAACACCUCUUGCGAUCGCGGGCUCUGCCCGGGUUCGUUCAAUGUGUCCAACCCUUUGUGAACUUUCCAUAUUUGCUUCGGCAGCGCCUCGCGGGGAAACCUGCUUGGGUAAGGCUGUCGAUAGCCCAUUACAAAACCAGAUUUUAAAACUUGCAGUCUGAAUACCAUUGAUUUGAGAAAUCAAAAUCAUAUUAAAACUUUCAGCAACGGAUCUCUUGGUUCUC